rnacentral:lncRNA from 1 species
UAAAGCAGUGGCUUAUCUUGUAUGUUCUGUAACUGUGUUUGAAUUUUGGAAGCCUGUAGAACUUUCAAACUUUUAUUUUUUUUUAGCUUCCUUUUCUGUUAUUUCAUUUUCACCAUGAUAAAUUUUAACAUUGAAAUCAGAGUGCGGCUUUGAACAUCAGACUUUGUGUGGAGAAACUAUCCUUUGUAUGGAAAACAGCAAUAAGAUGAGAGUGACUAGGGCAAAGGAUUCCAGUGUCUGGAGUACGUGCAGGAAAGACAGCUCUGUCCACGUGACUGGGACACUUGAACUACAUAUAAUAGAUAUAUCUCUUUGGCUGCCACCUGAGAGAGUGUUUUUACCAAACGCUCAGCUUCUUCAGAAAGCUUCCACCAAUGAUCAUGUAAAAGGGGAAGAGGGGAGACUGCAGAGAAAAACAAGGCUUCGCAAAUGGCAAAGCUUAAGAUCUCCUCUUAAACCUGAGUCGUGGUUGACAUUAUUUAAUAGAGCAUCUUUUAGCAUUAGUAAAAGGCUGCAACAUUUGCUUUGAAUGGGAGACAGUUCUCUUCCUUUAAGUUAGUACUGAGAAAUAAAUCCUGAAAACCGGUUAAAAUUGUAGUUGGC